GCAUGGCCGCCGGGGCCCGGGCUGGGGGCGGGCGCGGGUUCGCGAACCAGCACGGGGACGGGAGAGGAGGCCUGCCUCAAUUUGGACGAACCCUAAGACUUAAGAAGUCCGUACAGCGUUAAAGCUGAAGCACCAUGAAAUGCAGCAAUUUCUGGUCCGGACAGCUCAGCUGAUUAUUUUCAUGUUGCUACAAUUUGUCAUGGAUGGUAUAUGGGAAAGAAAAUGAGUUUUGGUUUCAGAUAGUACUAGAUGCAAUUUUAACUUUGUCGGUUAAUAGCGGGCUGGAUCCUAUGACCCUGAGACCGUGACCUGAGCUGAAACCAAGAGUCAAGAUUCGGUCACUCAAUGGACUGAGCCACCCAGGGGCCCCCAGAUUUAUUCUUACAAUGCCUGAGGACACUAUCUAUCUAAGAUAACUUUGAACUAAAAUCAUGGCUUUAGGACUUUUGGAACAUUCAAGUUCUGUGGAUUACAGUUGCAAAUUCAUGUAAGAACUGGUUGUUUUGGACAUACCUCAGGACUUUGUGCAUCCAAUGUGAGGCUCAGACUUAAGACCUUGAGAUCAAGAGUCACAUGCUCUUCCAGCUGAGCCAGCCAAGUGCCCCCCAGUCACAGAGACAGAGAGGCAGAGACACAGGCAGAGGGAGAAGCAGGCUCCAGGCAUCGGGAGCCCGACGUGGGAUUCGAUCCCGGGUCUCCAGGAUCGCGCCCUGUGCCAAAGGCAGGCGCCAAACCGCUGCGCCACCCAGGGAUCCCCCAUUAAUAAAAGUU